GGCGAACGGGUGAGUAACGCGUGAGGAACCUGCCUCAAAGAGGGGGACAACAGUUGGAAACGACUGCUAAUACCGCAUAAGCCCACGGUGCCGCAUGGCACAGAGGGAAAAGGAGCAAUCCGCUUUGAGAUGGCCUCGCGUCCGAUUAGCUAGUUGGUGAGGUAACGGCCCACCAAGGCGACGAUCCAUAGCCGGCCUGAGAGGGUGAACGGCCACAUUGGGACUGAGACACGGCCCAAACUCCUACGGGAGGCAGCAUG
rnacentral:rRNA from 1 species